AUUGAACGCUGGCGGCAUGCCUUACACAUGCAAGUCGAACGGCAGCGCGGGGCAACCUGGCGGCGAGUGGCGAACGGGUGAGUAAUAUAUCGGAACAUACCCUAGAGUGGGGAUAACGUAGCGAAAGUUACGCUAAUACCGCAUACGCACUAAGGUGGAAAGUGGGGGGAUCUUCGGACCUCAUGCUCAUGGAGUGGCCGAUAUCUGAUUAGCUAGUUGGUGAGGUAAAGGCUCACCAAGGCGACGAUCAGUAGCUGGUUUGAGAGAACGACCAGCCACACUGGAACUGAGACACGGUCCAGACUCCUACGGGAGGCAGCAGUGGGAAUUUUGGACAAUGGGGGCAACCUGAUCCAGCAAUGCCGCGUGAGUG
rnacentral:rRNA from 1 species